rnacentral:ncRNA from 2 species
UCAGCCACGUUCCUUCGAGCCUUUGCGCCUACCGGCUUCAUGCCCAUGGUGCUCAGGCCAUUGGGCCGCUGUGGAAACACCGUGACCUUCCACCUUUGAAAAGGAGGAAACGCAAUGCUCGU